CAAUAGCGUAUAUUAAAGUUGUUGCAGUUAAAAAGCUCGUAGUUGGAUUUCGGGACGGGCCAGUUGGUCCGCCGCAAGGUGUGUUACUGACUGGUCUGUUCUUCUUCGCAAAGACUGCGUGUGCUCUUCGUUGAGUGUGCGUAGGAUUUACGACGUUUACUUUGAAAAAAUUAGAGUGUUCAAAGCAGGCUAUCGCUUGAAUACAUGAGCAUGGAAUAAUGGAAUAGGACUUUGGUCCUAUUUUGUUGGUUUCUAGGACCGAAGUAAUGAUUAAGAGGGACAAUUGGGGGCAUCCGUAUUUCGUUGUCAGAGGUGAAAUUCUUGGAUUUACGAAAGACGAACAACUGCGAAAGCACUUACCAAGAGUGUUUUCAUUAA
rnacentral:rRNA from 1 species